rnacentral:lncRNA from 1 species
GAGGCGUUCACACCUUAUUUUCAAAUUGUGAAACCAUCCAAGCCGUUUAUCAUGUCUAGCAACUGCAACAUCGUGUCCAGUAGCAUAUGCAACAAUGGCACAACAACGAGCAAAGGUAGUCAUCCACUUUUUACAAGGAAUGUGGUUCAAUAUUACGCACCGGCUAGCUGAACAGGUCGAUAGGGUGCGCACCAGCUAGCUGGGGAGUUUGAUUGGCUUUUACCCUAUGUUCAGGAACCGCUUGAUCAUAUCCUGUUCAAGAUGGGUCUUUCUAAAAUCAAGAUUCAAGAGCUGAUCUCCAACUAAGAGAAUCAUCAAUGCAUUAAAAGAUUCGAGGGUCUUGCGUUUUCUAGAGCAUGGCGACUCCCAAUUGAAACAUCGGAUAUCCAUUCUCAACUGAAACAG